GCGGCAGCAGGGUUGGGCUCUCGCCGUGAGUCGACGAAGGGAGCGCGGGCGCGCGCCCGCGUCCGCGCACUGAGAGUCGCCUCGGCCGCUCGCUUUCUCGACUCCCGCCUCGCGCCUCGAUCCUGUUCCGCCUCCCUCGGCCCUCCUGCCCGCCCCCACUCGUCGGCCCUCAGCUCAGAGACCUAAUAGGAUGGGGUCUUAGAGAAACAUCUUUUGAGCCACAGACUUCUUUGUUACCAGAAGGAAAAUGAAAGAAGAAAUUUAAAUACCACUUGAAGAGAGUUUCCUCAUCAGCAAAGUCAGAAAAAGUAUGUACCUGAAGGACUGAUUGUAAGGCUGGGAUGAGAGAAUCCAUGUGAUCAGCCCUCACCAACAGGUGCUGCCCAGUUCAUGAGUGCUGCUGCUGUCCUGCCCAAGUACCCAGCUUGCAGAGUGCCAGAGUUAGAGUCCCAGGGGUGUUCUCCACAGCUGCAUGCUUGAUCCAGGCCUAUCAGCAUUGUCUUUGAAUAUUAGCAAAUAAUGGAACAUGGGCCAAGGGUGAACCAUGACGAAUUUGUGUUCCAGCAGCCCUGCUUCUUUAGAAUUGACAGUCUGGCUUCGUGGUUAAUUCACAGCAUCUGAGGAAUACAUCCAAAGAGGGUGAUACUGUGGCAUGAUGGUACCAGGAUUCCAAGUUCAUUCCAGAUCAUUGGGUAGAGACUAGAAAUGUACCGAGCAGUGCGCAAAGAAGAUGAGGAGGGUUCUACAGUUUCUCCAGAUACAUACCAUGACAAUUUGUUUUUUUAAAAAAGAAGAAAGCCUGCAGGAAAAAAUCUACAACUUUCAUCAAAUUACUCAGGGAGACUUUAUUCUAAAGAGACUGAAAACGACCAACAUCAAUUUUGACUCCUAUGGGCAUCUGUAAAUAGCUUCAAGGUUUUAAGGUGAAAUGUCAUGUACCAAAAUACACAUUCUGGAGAAGCAGGAAGCUACAGACCAACUUGAGAUGAAAGUCUCAUAUCAAUGUUUUCCCAAGUGUGCUCCUUGGAAUACAGGUUGACAUGAUAUGAUGCCCAGCAAGGGAAACAAAACAUAUUCAUGUUCAAAUUAGUUGGGGAAAUGCUGGACUAAAUAAGGUUUGAUGGGAUUCUUUUUUCUGCAGGACUUCUCAGAAGGGGCUAGAGUAGGCAAAGUUUCCCAGAUUUACCUAAUAAAAGCAUUGUUUCUGUGGGAGUUUCAUUUGUUAUUACAUGUUUCCUGAAUGCAGAUUCAUAGACUAUCCUUUGGGGAACCCUCGUCCUCACGGGAUGUAUGUUCAUGGUGGUGUCUUCGAGUUUGUGCCCUUGUGAAGCAUUCUGGCAGCAAGCAUCUGAACACUUCCAAAAGGGGGCGAUAUUUAGGAGAAAUCGCUCAGCCUGAGUUAGAACAAAUGCAGCUGCUGGUGUCUCUUGGUGCCUGGGAGCCCUAGAGUGUCAGAGGGAGGAGCGUGCACACUGGAACCAGCAGCCUGGUGCUGCGUCUCAGCUCUGUCGCUAACUGGCUAUGCACCUCUGGGCAUGGCACUUAACCCUUCUGAGCCCCAGCCCGCCAUCUGUAAAAAGGGCUUGAUGUGAGGAUUGAAUGAGAUCAUGCAGGGAACACAAUGUCUGGCACUUGGAAGCGUCCACCAUAAAGAGCCAAGGCAGUAGAUGGCCCAGCUGGGUUUGGUCCAGGCAGAGUUUACCCUCUGCCCUGGAGGCUCCAGGAAAUGCUGCCACGUGGCUCCUAUUGCCUUAACCACAUCCGACCUGUUCCUGACAGCUCCCCACAUCUCCAGCUCCUUUGCUGGUGCUCCAGGCACCUCCAAACGUGGCGAGCCCCUCUCCCCUGCCCUCUUGUGGCAGCUGACCUGGCAGGAGUGGGACCAAGACAUCCAAGGCAGCUCCUUUCCACCUGCAUGGGCACUUUCCUCAGGACAUCCUUGCCCCUGGCACCACCUUGGGCCAGCAAGCCACAUGGAAAUGGAUGCAGAGGCACCACUGUUUGCUGACAAUUAUACACUGUCCUUAAGGUCACCCUUGGCGAUCUGUCACCAGGAGCAGACAAACCCACACCUCAACCAUCCCAUCAGAGCUUGUUUCUAUCUGCAUCUGUCAUCGCUGAUCGCAUUUGAAU
rnacentral:lncRNA from 1 species